CUGGAAUAUCUAUAUAAUUACCCUAACUGCUUAGGCAAAUGUGAAUAUAAUGACAAAUUAAGUCAUUUUCCAUGGUACACGUCGGUGUAUUUAGCCAGGCUUGUAACACAGAUGCCCCUAUCAUGAUGACUAUAUUUGCAUGUAAUUUGAUGCAGGGAAAACACCGGGCUAUAUUCACUUGCACAAUUAUUCAAGACUAAUGGGUAGACGUCGCCCUCUGUCGGCGAGGACACACCACUAAACCACAAGGGGGAUCAAACUUUUAUGUCCCUCCAUUAACGCUGAACACAGACACCAAAAUUGUCGUUUUCUAAAUUGCAGGGUAUACGUUCGCUUUAAUCAUGUGACCGUGUACGGUAAUGCAAGUAACGGUACACAAAGUGGACAACUUUUUAUGAUUCGCUCCAGAUGUUGAGGAUUGUAACUUUAGACCUAAAGACUUUCUCUAGUCCUCUGUCAUUUGUGCAAGUGGAUUCUUGAGGGAAUAGUGAGGCGCUCUUAUUCCAGCUUUCACCCCCACCAGAGGAACCUAAAGGGACAACGCUCCCUGCAGAGGCACCAGAUGUGCGCUGUUAUGGGGAGCAAGGAGGGGGGUGAGGCAUCAGAUAAGCCCUGUUCCCAAAGCCGGGACGGAUCGAGUAUCAUCAUCGGGGGCGAAACCCAAACCCUGCGCAGUGGGUCGGAUUUCUGUUUACACGAGCGUGGUCCCUGGAUUCCUCAAACCAGAGCAGACCAGAGAGCUCGGCGACACUGUGAGGUCUGCGAGACAGAGGCUUUCAAUGAUGCAGAAGAGCAAUGGAAACCAACUGUCCUAAUGUAGGCCAUACUGCACUGUUAACGUGUUAAUGGACAAAAUGAGGAAAAUUGUAGUAAAGUUAUAAAAUAAAAGUUGUUACAGC
ensembl:lncRNA